rnacentral:rRNA from 1 species
GAUGAACGCUGGCGGCGUGCCUAAUACAUGCAAGUAGAGCGAAGCGGGGACGGGUGAGUAACACGUGGAUAACCUCCUAUAAGAAUGGGAUAAAUUCCGGAAACCGGAGCUAACCCGGAUACUUAUAGAUGGAUCCGCGCUGCAUUGGAUAGUUGGUAAGGUAACGGAGAACCAAGGCAACGAUGCAUAGUCGAACUGAGAGGGGGAGCAGCAACACUAGAGAGGAGACACGCUCCAGUCUCAGACGGUAGGCAGCAGAAGGGAGUCUGCCGCAAUGGGCGAAAGGCUGGCCGGGCAACGCCGAGUGAGGGAAAAGAGUCUUCGGAUCGUAAAACUAUAUUAUUAGGGAAGCGGUAUCUAAUCAGAAAGCAACGGCUAACUACGUGCCAGCAGCCGCGGUAAUUC